rnacentral:rRNA from 1 species
UAGAGACUCAGAGCUGCAUAUCAAUAAGCGGAGGAAAAGAAACUAACAAGGAUUCCCUUAGUAACGGCGAGUGAAGCGGGAAGAGCUCAAAUUUGAAAUCUUCAAGGUUUUACCUUGACGAAUUGUAGUUUAAAGAAGUGUUUUCUGUUGGAGUUUUGGUAAAAGUUCUUUGGAAUAGGACAUCAUAGAGGGUGAGAAUCCCGUAUUUGACCGUUACUUUCCAGCUGUGUGAUACACUUUCAAAGAGUCGGAUUGUUUGGGAAUGCAGUCCAAAAUGGGUGGUAAAUUUCAUCUAAAGCUAAAUAUUGGCGAGAGACCGAUAGCGAACAAGUACCGUGAGGGAAAGAUGAAAAGAACUUUGAAAAGAGAGUUAAACAGUACGUGAAAUUGUCAAAAGGGAAGCGUUUGACACCAGUGUUGUUUAGUUGAAAAUCAAUUCAAUAAUUUUUGAUUUUAAGUAGUAUUGACUUCAUCAGCUUGCUGCUUUCUUUUCAGGAAUUAUUGAAUGCACUUUUCAGUUAACAAGUCAACAUCAAUUUCUUUUGUUGUAAAAGGGUAUGAGGAAGGUGGCUUUCUUUUCGGAGAAAGUGUUUAUAGCCUUGUGCCUCUGCAAUCGGAGAGAUUGAGGUCUGCAGCGUAGAUCCUUCGGGGUUAGAUACGUUUGUGCUAAGUUAUAGCUUUUCAUAGACAACUUGUUGACUAUGUUAGUCUUGUAGCUUACUCGCUUACUGCUAUUUUACCUACGCUUAGGAUGUUGAUAUGCAUGACUGAUAU